AUGCCAGGUGUACCGAGGGAACUCGCUGAGCACACUCUUAAUAUCGAUCCCAAGUUUAAACCGGUCAAGCAGUUUCUCCGCCACUUCAAUGAAGAGAGAAGCAAGGCCAUUGGUGAGGAGGUAGCCCGACUCUUGGCAGCAGGGUUUAUCGUGGAGGUUUUUCACCCUGAGUGGUUAGCUAACCCGGUGCUGGUGCUCAAGAAGAACGACACUUGGCGUAUGUGUGUGGAUUACACAGAUUUGAACAAGGCUUGUCCAGCUGAUCCCUUUGCUCUCCCUCAUAUUGAUCAAAUUAUUGAUGCUACGGCGGGUUGUGAGCGUUUGAGCUUUCUGGAUGCUUAUUCUGGUUAUCAUCAGAUUAAAAUGGCAGUUAAGGACCAGGAGAAGACAGCCUUUAUAACUCCCUUUGGAGCCUUCUGCUAUGUAUCUAUGCCCUUUGGGCUCAAGAGUGCCCAGGCGACUUAUCAGCGGUGUGUGCAGAAUUGUCUUCAUAGUCAGAUUGGGCGCAAUGUUCAUGCUUAUGUGGAUGAUAUCGUUGUGAAGUCCAGGAAAGCAGAGACACUGAUAGCUAAUUUGAAGGAAACCUUUGAUAAUCUCCGGGUUUAUAAGAUGAUGCUUAAUCCGGCCAAGUGUGUUUUUGGUGUAUCGGCAGGCAAGCUCUUGGGUUUUCUGGUGUCUAACAGGGGCAUUGAAGCUAAUCCGGAAAAAAUCAAGGCUAUUACGUACCUGGCUAAACCGGCGUGUGUCAAUGAUGUUCAACACCUGGUGGGUUGUAUUGCGGCGCUAAACCGGUUUAUCAGCCGAUUGGGAGAGAAGGCCAUCCCUCUAUAUCAGAGGAUGAAGAAGACAGACAACUUUGUCUGGAGUGAUGCUGCUAAUGCGACAUUUGAAGAUCUGAAGAAGCAGUUAGCUGAGCCGCCUGUUCUUGCUGCCCCCAUUGAUAAGGAACCAUUGCUGUUAUAUGUGGCUGCUAACGCCCGGGCUAUCAGUGUGGCUAUUGUGGUGGAGCGCAAGGAGGCCGGUAAGGAGUAUCCGGUUCAAUGGUUGGUUUAUUAUAUCAGUGAGGUUCUUAUUGAGUCCAAGCAGAGAUAUCCACAUUGGUAG
rnacentral:rRNA from 1 species